GAUGAACGCUGGCGGCGUGCCUAAUACAUGCAAGUCGAGCGAACGGACGAGAAGCUUGCUUCUCUGAUGUUAGCGGCGGACGGGUGAGUAACACGUGGAUAACCUACCUAUAAGACUGGGAUAACUUCGGGAAACCGUAGCUAAUACCGGAUAAUAUUUUGAACCGCAUGGUUCAAAAGUGAAAGACGGUCUUGCUGUUACUUAUAGAUGGAUCCGCGCUGCAUUAGCUAGUUGGUAAGGUAACGGCUUACCAAGGCAACGAUGCAUAGCCGACCUGAGAGGGUGAUCGGCCACACUGGAACUGAGACACGGUCCAGACUCCUACGGGAGGCAGCAGUAGGGACUCUUCCGCAAUGGGCGAAAGCCUGACGGAGCAACGCCGCGUGAGUGAUGAAGGUCUUCGGAUCGUAAAACUCUGUUAUUAGGGAAGAACAUAUGUGUAAGUAACUGUGCACAUCUUGACGGUACCUAAUCAGAAAGCCACGGCUAACUACGUG
rnacentral:rRNA from 1 species